rnacentral:rRNA from 1 species
GGCCUAACACAUGCAAGUCGAGCGGUAACAGGAAAGUGCUUCCACUUUUGCUGACGAGCGGCGGACGGGUGAGUAAUGUCUGGGGAUCUGCCCGAGGGCGGGGGAUAACCACUGGAAACGGUGGCUAAUACCGCAUAAUGUCGCGAGACCACAGUGGGGGACCUGAAAGGGCCUCACGCCCUUGGAUGAACCCAGAUGGGAUUAGCUAGUAGGUAGGGUAAUGGCCUACCUAGGCGACGAUCCCUAGCUGGUCUGAGAGGAUGACCAGCCACACUGGGACUGAGACACGGCCCAGACUCCUACGGGAGGCAGCAGUGGGGAAUAUUGCACAAUGGGCGCAAGCCUGAUGCAGCCAUGCCGCGUGUAUGAAGAAGGCCUUCGGGUUGUAAAGUACUUUCAGCGGGGAGGAAGGGUAUGGCCUGAAGAGGGCGAUAGCUUGACGUUACCCGCAGAAGAAGCACCGGCUAAC